UGGCGAACGAAUCGCAGCGAAACCUCAACAAAAUACAACAUACACAAUCAGUCUUCAAUAAGCGUUCGCUUUGGUUGAAUUACAGCAAACGGUUGUUCGUUCUACACGCCAAGCAGCACGCGGUCUCAAAAGAAACGCACAGAAACGCUGCCACUUAUACGCGCUUCUAUAGACUUUGGAGAGGCGCGCGUAAAACAACGCGCCGUUUCAGCAAACUCACAUUAAAUAUUUAUUACAAUUUAAGUGCUUGCACCUAUUUAAUGGCCCCAAAACGGCAAAACGGCAGCAGUGUAACGACGCAACGGAAGUUAGUUGAAAUGUCGAGGACGAGUGCAAAGAACAGUGCACUGCCUUGCGUUGCAGACCGACGCGGUGAAUGUGCGGAAUAGAUAAGAAAUAUAACAAAAAAAAAAUUAUUAUUAAAAAUAAUUAAUGUGUUCAAACGCUUAAAUAAGCAGGCGUGUUGUUGAUGGAAAUGAAAAUUUAAAUCACCAUCACCACCAACAACAACAGCAACAAAAUCAUAAAUAGUCAUUAAAAUGCAAAUCAAAUCAAUUUUAUAUGUAUGUAGAUGUUUAUAAUCAAAUAACACGCAUUCGGGCCAAUAAGCUAGCAACAACAAACACUUAAGCAAUAUAAAAAACAUAUAUCCAUACAUAAAUACAUAUACAUAUCUACAUAUGUACAUGUGUCCAUAUGUCAUGUAUAAAUUAAAUAAGAUUAACUGCGGCCAAUGAAACCAGUGGCUACAAAGGAACAUAAUAAAAAAGUAACAACAACAACAGCAAUAACAAUAACAACAGCGCUGCAACUCAGAAAAAUCUAUUACCAUAAAUUUUAUGCGUUCGCUGACGUUUUGCAAACCGUUAGAAUUUUUCACACGCUCCACGCGCUGACAAAGCACAACAAGCACAGUCGAGUCGUCGCAAACCCAAUUGCAAUCGCACGUCCGUCGGAGGUCGGAGAACGGAAAAAAGAAGUUGUUGUGCGAAAUUAGUAAACAGUGAAGGAAAACAAAAUAAGGGGAAACGGAAGAAGCCAAGCGAAAUAGCCAGCAGCUAGUCGCGGCUAAAUUCAUUCUAAGUGCAUUGACGGCCAUUUACGAAGCGCAACCAAAACAAAAACAAAAAAACGCGCUGAAGAGCGCUACAACUUAUGGCACACAGGCGAGUGUGGGCAUGUGUAUGCAUGCAUGUGUGUGUGAGUUUGGUGAAGUGCAUGCAAAAAACGCGUGAAACCGGUUACUUGUUGCAGUUGUAUUGAACCCUUACGUGCAAAAAAUAAAUAAAUAAAUAAACAAAGCAAAAAUAAAAAAUAACAACCAAAAUAAAGGAUAGCAGGUUAUUAGGCAGCCAACGGCCACAGUCGCAAUCGCAUUCGCCACAACUCGAUCGGCCAGACACGGUAGGCAAGCGGUGAAUUUCUUAAAUUCACAAAGCGCUCAACAAUAAUAACAAAA